rnacentral:rRNA from 1 species
UACGAAGGGGGCUAGCGUUGUUCGGAUUUACUGGGCGUAAAGCGCACGUAGGCGGAUCGUUAAGUCGGGGGUGAAAUCCUGGAGCUCAACUCCAGAACUGCCUUCGAUACUGGCGAUCUCGAGUCCGGAAGAGGUGAGUGGAACUCCUAGUGUAGAGGUGGAAUUCGUAGAUAUUAGGAAGAACACCAGUGGCGAAGGCGACUCACUGGUCCGUACUGACGCUGAGGUGCGAAAGCGUGGGGAGCAAACAGGG